GGCCCGCACAAGCGGUGGAGUAUGUGGUUUAAUUCGAUGCAACGCGAAGAACCUUACCAGGUCUUGACAUCCCGCUGACCGCCUUGGAGACAAGGCUUUCCCUUCGGGGACAGCGGUGACAGGUGGUGCAUGGUUGUCGUCAGCUCGUGUCGUGAGAUGUUGGGUUAAGUCCCGCAACGAGCGCAACCCUUGAUCUUAGUUGCCAGCAUUUAGUUGGGCACUCUAGAGAGACCGCCGGUGAUAAACCGGAGAAGGUGUGGAUGACGUCAAGUCAUCAUGCCCCUUACAUCUGGGCUACACACGUACUACAAUGCUACGGACAAAGAGCAGCAAGUUCGCGAGGACAAGCAAAUCUCAUAAACCGUGGCUCAGUUCAGA
rnacentral:rRNA from 1 species